AUUGAACGCUGGCGGCAUGCCUUACACAUGCAAGUCGAACGGUAACAGGUUAAGCUGACGAGUGGCGAACGGGUGAGUAAUGUAUCGGAACGUGCCCAGUCGUGGGGGAUAACUGCUCGAAAGAGCAGCUAAUACCGCAUACGACCUGAGGGUGAAAGCGGGGGAUCGCAAGACCUCGCGCGAUUGGAGCGGCCGAUAUCAGAUUAGGUAGUUGGGGGGGUAAAGGCUCACCAAGCCAACGAUCUGUAGCUGGUCUGAGAGGACGACCAGCCACACUGGGACUGAGACACGGCCCAGACUCCUACGGGAGGCAGCAGUGGGGAAUUUUGGACAAUGGGCGCAAGCCUGAUCCAGCCAUGCCGCGUGCGGGAAGAAGGCCUUCGGGUUGUAAACCGCUUUUGUCAGGGAAGAAAAGGUUCUGGCUAAUACCUGGGACUCAUGACGGUACCUGAAGAAUAAGCACCGGCUAACUACGUGCCAGCCGCCGCGGUAAAAC
rnacentral:rRNA from 1 species